UUUGACUGCAGUGGCAUUGGUGAACAGCGUGACACCUGUCCAGAAGGCAACUUCCAGAAGCAGAGCACAUUUCUUAGCUGUCCCAGUGUGAUCCAGGAUGUGUUCAACUCCAACGCGCCUCUGGUGUUGGUUGGGUUUCUAGGGAUUGCUGGACUCAUGAUGUUGGCCCUGGUGUGCAGUGUCAUCCUCAGCAGAUACAUCUCAAAGAAUCCUGCAUCUUCUUCUGGAACUAACUCCCAGUUGGAAAUGUAUGCAUAUGGAAUGUAUUGAGAGUUUGUGUCAUUCCUUAAUUGAUAAUUAGGUGUGUAAUGCAUUGUUACCGUGGAUAAGAACUGGUAGUUUCAUGGUUUAUCAUAGUUUUUCCAAACUAUCACUAUCCAAACAAAGAUGCUGCAUGAAGCAUGAGCUGUUUAUGAUGUGAAUAAGAUAUUAAUGAUGUGAAUUGUAAUUUUGCAAUUUAAAACAAAAACAGCAUAGUCUGGCUUUAGCUUUGUGAAAUUAUGCUACAUAAAAUAUCUGCAUGAAACAAAAACAGCAGAAAGCCUGAAUGAAAAGCAAAUUCACUCUCUGACAACCGGUGGCACUUAUGGAGCAGAAGCAGUACAGUAUUUCCUUUGGCACCGCUGUAAACAAAGA